rnacentral:rRNA from 1 species
CCUACGGGAGGCAGCAGUGGGGAAUAUUGUGCAAUGGGCGCACGCCUGACCCAGCAACGCCGCGUGAAGGAAGAAGGCUUUCGGGUUGUAACCUUCUUUUCUCAGGGACGAAGAAAGUUACGGUACCUGAGGAAUAAGCCACGGCUAACUACGUGCCAGCAGCCGCGGUAAUACGUAGGUGGCAAGCGUUAUCCGGAUUUAUUGGGGGUAAAGGGCGUGUAGGCGGGAGGGCAAGUCAGAUGUGAAAACUCAGGGCUCAACCCUGAGCCUGCAUUUGAACCUGUGUAUCUUGAGUGCUGGAGAGGCAAGUGGAAGUCCGGGUGUAGAGGUGAAAUGCGGAGAUAUACGGAGGAACAACAGUGGCGAAGGCGGAUUGCUGGACAGUAACUGACGCUGAGGAGCGAAAGCGUGGGGAGCAAACAGGAUUAGAUACCCGAGUAGUC